CUGUGUUUAGCUCAGUCUGGUAGAGUUCUUGGCCUGGAACCAAGGGGUCGGAGGUUCGAAUCCUUCAGCACAGA